rnacentral:tRNA from 1 species
CGGGAUGUAGCGCAGCUUGGUAGCGCACUUGAAUGGGGUUCAAGGGGUCGUGAGUUCAAAUCUCGUCAUCCCGA